AGUGAACGCUGGCGGCAGGCCUAACACAUGCAAGUCGAACGGCAGCACAGCAGUAGCAAUACUGUGGGUGGCGAGUGGCGGACGGGUGAGGAAUACAUCGGAAUCUGCCUAGUCGUGGGGGAUAACGUAGGGAAACUUACGCUAAUACCGCAUACGACCUACGGGUGAAAGCGGGGGAUCGCAAGACCUCGCGCGAUUAGAUGAGCCGAUGUCCGAUUAGCUAGUUGGCGGGGUAAUGGCCCACCAAGGCGACGAUCGGUAGCUGGUCUGAGAGGAUGAUCAGCCACACUGGAACUGAGACACGGUCCAGACUCCUACGGGAGGCAGCAGUGGGGAAUAUUGGACAAUGGGCGCAAGCCUGAUCCAGCCAUGCCGCGUGGGUGAAGAAGGCCU
rnacentral:rRNA from 1 species